rnacentral:lncRNA from 1 species
AUGGGCCUUCCCCGGCCAUCGCCCAGCCUUCUUCCAGGCCUUUCUCUGGGCCUUCCCCUGGCCCUUCCUCUGGGUUUUGCACUGGGCCUUCGUCUGGGCCUUCCCCCCUUCAUUCCUCUUUACCUUCCUCUGGGCUUUCCUCCAGACCUUCAUCGGGACCUUCCCCCGGGCGUUUCCCAGACCUUCCACCAGGCCUUCCUCCAGGCCUCCCCACUGGCCCUCCUCCUUGCCUUCCCCGGGCGUCCAGCAGGCCUUUCUCUGGGCCUACUCCCAGGCCUUCCCCUGGGUCCUCCCUCCGGCCUCCAGCAGGACUUUGGGCCUCCGCCCAGGCCUUCCUUGAGGCCUUCCCCAGGCCUCCUUCUAGCCUUCCUCUUGGCCUUCCUCAAGACUUCCCUGGAGCCUUCCCUCCAGCCUUUCUCCGGGCCUUCAGGCAGGCCUUCUCUGGGCCUUCCUCCAGGCCUUCCUCAGGGCCUUCACCGGCCUUCCUCCAGGCCAUCCUCUGUGCCUCCCCCCUGGCCUUCCUCCGGGCCUUCCCCCAGCCUUCCUACGGGCUGGGCUGUCAUGCGGGCCUUCCCGUGCCUUCCUCCAGACCUUCUCAUGGGUCUUUCCCGGGCCUUCCACCAAGCCUUCCUGUGGGCCUCCCCCUGGCCUUCCUCUGGGCCUUCCCCGGGCCUUCCAGCAGGCCUUCCACGGGCCUUCCUCCAGGCCUUCCCCUGGGCCUUCCCUCGGGCCUCCACCAGGACUUCCUCUGGGCCUCCACCGGGCCUUCCUUGGGGCCUUCCACGGGCCUCCCUCCAGCCUACCUCUUGGCCUUACCCAAGCCUUCUCCCACACCUUCCCCGGGUCUCUCUCCAGCCUUCCCCUCGACCUUCUCCCCAGCCUUCCGCCGGGCCUUCACCUGGGCCUUCCCCUGGGCCUUCCUCUGGUCCUUUCCCCAGGCCUUCUUCUGGGCCUGACCUCGGGCCUCCAGCAGGACUUCCUCUGGGCCUUCCUCUGGGCCUUCCCUCGGGCCUUCCUCCGCCCUUCCCCCCUGGGCCUUCCCUGGGCCUUCCCACGCCUUCCUCUGGGCUUCCCAGGCCUUCUUCAGGCCUCCCCCCAGCCUUCCCUGGGCCUUCCUCUUGGCCUUCUCUCGGGUUUCCUGCAGGUCUUCCUCCAGGCCUUCUUCCGUGUCUUCCACAGGCCUUUCCCAGGCCUUCCACCAGGCCUUCCUCUUGGCCUUCCUCCGGGCCUCCCUCUGGGCCUUCCCUUGGGCCUUCCUCUGGGGCCUCCCUUGGGCCUUCCCUGUGCCUUCCUCCAGGCCUCCCCUGGUCUUCCUCUGGGCCUUCCCCAAGCCUUCCCCCGUCCUUCCCCUGGGUCUUCCCCCGUACUUUCUCCCGGGCCUUCCCCGGGCCUUCCUCCAGGCCUCCCCCUGGCAUUCCUCCAGGCCUUCCACGGGGCCUUCCCCUCGCCUUCUUCCAGGCCUCCCCAUAG